rnacentral:lncRNA from 1 species
CAAUUAUCAUUUUAGAGACAGUUUAACAACUGCCUAACCAUCACCUGAUGGUCACCUGACAUUGUUGGGCUGGGAGUUCGCGGGGCUCUCCUGCUCUGCUCACCAUUGCCUAACUAUCUACUGUAACAAUACCACCUAGCAAAGCUGUGGCCGUGUCUUGCAGGAAGAAGCACAUGUUCUUCCUCCAGAGUCCAGUAUGAUGUCUAAAGCAGAUCUGUUCUGAACCCACCACUUGUCCAAUUUCAUCAUCUUCUUGGAUGAGGAGUUCUGUGGCUUAGAGGAGAAAAAGAAACCUUUUUCUCUACUCUCAGGUACUGUGAGUGGGACUUGUGAAUUAAUCUGUCAAAAGACAGAUUAAAUGAGGAAAAAGGCAUACAAAUUUUAUUUGAUGUUAAUAUUUUAAUUUUUAUGUAGACAGAGGCAUUUUUACAAGUGAAGACCCCAAACAAGCAGUUAGCCCUGGAGGAUUAUAUACCAUUUUAACAACGGGCACUAAAUCCUGCGUGAGAGAAGUAACAAGACAAAGGAAAGUUGGGGUUUAGGCUCCUAGGGGCAGCAAACUGUGGGAAGGUGACUAGAACUUGUAUGGUAAAUAAGGGUUGUUUAGUAAGGUUUGUUAUGAAGAGAGUCAUCCUUCUCUUCCUAAUACGGGGAACACCUUUACAAAUAGAAAUUUAUGUCAGUUUUACAAAGGGAAAUAUAAGUCCUGCUUUUAAGCAAAAAAGGGGAGAGCAGAGAAUUCUUCCUGUGCCUGCUAUUUCUCAGUUUCCUUCAGCUCAAAAUAAUUCUUAUGCCAAAGUGACAUAUUUUGGGGUGACAAUUCUGGUACCCUGCAGUGGCCUUCAUGGCAUUGUCUAAAUUGCUUGCUAUUCUCUUAACCAUACCAGGUAGGAUUCCCCCAACUUUUCACACCUCUUAUAAGCAUGAAUAAAGAGACAUAAGGCAAGGGAAAAAAAUCAAAAUCCAGAAUUCCCUUGAAGUGAAGAUCUACUGGUCUCUUUUU